rnacentral:rRNA from 1 species
UACGUAGGGGGCGAGCGUUGUCCGGAAUCAUUGGGCGUAAAGGAGCGAUGUAGGUGGCUUGGAAAGUUCUUACGUGAAAGCCUGCGGCUCAACCGGCAGAAGUGCGUAGGAAACUUCCUCGCUAGAGUCCGGAAGAGGAGAGCGGAAGUUCCGUGGAUGUAGCGGUGGAAUGCGCAGAUAUCAGGAGGAACACCCGUGGCGAAGGCGGCUCCUCGUGGGACGGUACUGACGACUGGAGACGCGGAAAGCGAUGGGGAUGACC